GUCUAUGGCCAUACCACCCUGAAUACACCCUAUGUCAUCUGAUCUCAGAAGCUAAAGCAGGGUCGAGCCUGGUUAGUACUUGGAUGGGAGGAAGUAGGUGAAGAGGGCA
rnacentral:rRNA from 1 species